rnacentral:rRNA from 1 species
GACACGAGGUGCUGCAGUGGCUGUCGUCAGCUCGUGUCGUGAGAUGUGGGUUAAGUCCCGUAACGAGCGCAACCCUUGUCCUUAGUUACCAGCACGUUAUGGUGGGCACUCUAAGGAGACUGCCGGUGACAAACCGGAGGAAGGUGGGGAUGACGUCAAGUCAUCAUGGCCCUUACGGCCUGGGCUACACACGUGCUACAAUGGUCGGUACAAAGGGUUGCCAAGCCGCGAGGUGGAGCUAAUCCCAUAAAACCGAUCGUAGUCCGGAUCGCAGUCUGCAACUCGACUGCGUGAAGUCGGAAUCGCUAGUAAUCGUGAAUCAGAAUGUCACGGUGAAUACGUUCCCGGGCCUU